rnacentral:rRNA from 1 species
UCCAGACUCCUACGGGAGGCAGCAGUGAGGAAUAUUGGUCAAUGGGCGGGAGCCUGAACCAGCCAAGCCGCGUGAGGGGAGAAGGUACAGCGUAUCGUAAACCUCUUUUGUCAGGGAACAAAGGCGGGGACUAGUCCCCGGAUGAGGGUACCUGAAGAAAAAGCAUCGGCUAACUCCGUGCCAGCAGCCGCGGUAAUACGGAGGAUGCGAGCGUUAUCCGGAUUUAUUGGGUUUAAAGGGUGCGCAGGCGGCCUGUUAGGUCAGGGGUAAAGGCCGGGGGCUCACCCCCGGCGAGCCGUUGAAACUGGCAGACUUGAGUUGGCGAGAAGUACGCGGAAUGCGCGGUGUAGCGGUGAAAUGCAUAGAUAUCGCGCAGAACUCCGAUUGCGAAGGCAGCGUACCGGCGCCAGACUGACGCUGAGGCACGAAAGCGUGGGGAUCGAACAGGAUUAGAUACCCCUGUA